GUGCUCGCUUCGGCAGCACACACACUACAAUUGGACCGAUACAGAGAAGAUUAGCAGGGCCCCUGCGCAAGGAUGACACGCACGUUCGCGAAGCCUUCCAUAAAAAA